rnacentral:rRNA from 1 species
UACGAAGGGGGCUAGCGUUGCUCGGAAUCACUGGGCGUAAAGCGCACGUAGGCGGAUCUUUAAGUCAGGGGUGAAAUCCUGGAGCUCAACUCCAGAACUGCCUUUGAUACUGGGGAUCUCGAGUCCGGAAGAGGUGAGUGGAACUCCGAGUGUAGCGGUGAAAUGCGUAGAUAUCAGUCGGAACACCGGUGGCGAAGGCGGCUUCUUGGGCCGCUCCUGACGCUGAUGCGCGAAAGCUGGGGGAGCGAACGGG